rnacentral:rRNA from 1 species
AUGGUGACGGAGAUGGCGACGCGGGGGGAGCCGUGGCGGCGGCCGGAGGGGGAGCGGGACCGGGAGCUGGAGGAGGAGAUGGAGCUCUUCCGCAGCGGCUCCGCGCCGCCCACGGUCGAGGGCUCCGCGGGCGCGCUCCACGGCGCCGACGCCUUCCUCGACGACGACCUCCGGGCCGACCCGGCCUACCACUCCUACUACUACUCCAGCGGCAGCGUCAACCCGCGCCUCCCGCCGCUGCUGCUGUCCCGGGAGGACUGGCGGUCGGCGCAGCGGCUCCGCCCCGGCCCCGGCCCCGGUCUGGGCGGGAUCGGCGACGGGAGGAGGCCCGGCGGCGGCGGCGGCGGCGCGGGGGCGGGGCGGCCCGGAGACGGGCUCAUUGGGAUGCCUGGGCUCGAGAUUGGGAGGCAGAGCAGCUUCUCCGGUCUCAAAAAAGGGGACGGUGGUGCAACGGUGGUUGUUAACUCCGACAAAGGGGACGAACGGCAUACCAUGUUUGUUCAUCUUAUACGUGCUAUCAAACACAACCACAUCUCCGUAGUCCUGAUAGUCCCUCCACGACUGUGCAUCACACCAAAACAUACUCUUCAGUCGCCCUUCCUUGUCACGCACAUACUUAAAAAAAACUCAGGGUCCUUCUCCUUCCUGCUCCUCAUAAUGCCAACUACCGUCUCUGCGUCACCUUUUGCAAUGAGCUUCAUUUUUUCUCUGCAACAAAGAUUGUAA